UACUACGGGAGGCAGCAGUGGGGAAUCUUGGACAAUGGGCGCAAGCCUGAUCCAGCCAUGCCGCGUGAGUGAUGAAGGCCCUAGGGUCGUAAAGCUCUUUCGCCUGUGAUGAUAAUGACAGUAGCAGGUAAAGAAACCCCGGCUAACUCCGUGCCAGCAGCCGCGGUAAUACGGAGGGGGUUAGCGUUGUUCGGAAUUACUGGGCGUAAAGCGCGCGUAGGCGGGUUGUUAAUUUAAAGGUGAAAUCCCGGGGCUCAACCCCGGAACUGCCUUUAAUACUGGCAACCUAAAAUUCCAGAGAGGUGAGUGGAAUUCCCAGUGUAGAGGUGAAAUUCUUAAAUAUUCGGAGGAAAACCACUGUUGAAGGCGGCUCCCUGGCUCUAUACUGACUCUGAAGGGGCGAAAGUGUGGGGGAGAAACACGAUUAAAUACCCGGGUAGCCCCCCCCUUAUACAAUGAAAGCCAUCCCCCCGGGUAUCUGCUAUUUGUGGACCCCCCUCCCCGAUUAACAUUUCCCCCC
rnacentral:rRNA from 1 species